rnacentral:rRNA from 1 species
UUUUUUUGCACUUUGUCAAAAGCAGGCUCCGAAUUCGCCCUUAGAGUUUGAUCAUGGCUCAGAUUGAACGCUGGCGGAAUGCUUUACACAUGCAAGUCGAGCGGCAGCGCGGGGCAACCUGGCGGCGAGCGGCGAACGGGUGAGUAACACAUCGGAACGUGCCCAGACGUGGGGGAUAGCCCGGCGAGAGCCUGAUUAAUACCGCUUACGAUCUGAUGAUGAAAGCGGGGGAUCGCAAUGACCUCGCGCGUUUGGAGUGGCAGAUGGAAAAUUAUGUAGUUGGUGGGGUAAAGGCUUCCCAAGCCUGUUACCUGUAUCUGGUCUGAGAGGAUGAUCAUCCACUCUGGGACUGAUAUUCCGUCCUAACUCCUACCGGAGGCUGUGUUGGGGAAUUUUGGUUAUUGGGCAGAAGCCUGGAUUGCAACGUUCCGCGUGUGGGACUAUCGUCUUCUCGUUGUAAACUGCUUUUGCACGGUAUUAAAAACUCUUCUCUCACUCAUAAGGGUCAUUAUGGUCCCCUAUAAAUACUCUCCCGUUACUUACUUGGAUGCCUCUGCGCUUCUACCUAGGAUGCGCUCUUUAUUCUGAUUUUCCGCUGUUGAAGCUUGACGCAACCUCUUCUUUUUGACACAGGUUGAAUUCCUUUCUCUUGGCCUUGCUUAGUCUCCUUUGCAUUACAUUUCGGCUUUAUCUUCUGGUUUGCUCUUGUGGAAUUUCCUCCGUUUUCUUCUGAAAUGCCAUCUAAUGUUGUGUGUGCUCUCCUGCUCUUUAUCAUACCCCUGUGUACUU